rnacentral:lncRNA from 1 species
GCACGGCAGCCGGCCGGCUGCAGCCCCUAGCCGUGGCCAUGGCGGCGGCCAGCCCCAUCCCAGCCGAUCUCGGUCCUCCGGUGAUGCCCCUGCGUCGGUCGAGUGCAAGUCGCCUGCUCUGGAUGACCGCAGAGCUGUCUCGCCCGCACUCGACGUCGCGCUUGGAGCCGUCUCGCUUGCUCAGCCGCUGCCGUCGAGUCUCCCAGCGUGUGCAGCCCCACCUCCACGUUGGCUCGUCGUUGAUCGCCCUCGCCAGUGUGAGUCGCCGAGCCGAGCUCGCUUGCAAAGCAUCGCGCGCCAGAGCAAGCUGUGUCUUGAGCCUCGCCUCGCCGUUCGCCAUCUUCGCAAGGUGAGAAUCCUGCGUCUACCCCUACGCCAAUUAAUUUCCUACUUAGUUGUGAGUCAUUAAAUUGAAUACUCAAUCAAAUCAAUUUACGAUUUUAAUUAUACGAUUGUAAGUACGUGGUAAUGUGAUUUUAACAACUUAGAUGUUAUAUUUAAUAUCUAUUUAGUGUUUAGUAUAAAAACAACAAUUAGUUAAUGAUUCUCGUGUGUUCGCGUGCUGCUUCACGUGUCACGGUCGUUCACGCAUGUCGCGCGUUGUCCGCACGCUACUCGCCUGUACUGUUUGUACGCUGUCACCGCCCAUUCCGCGCGUGUCGUGUGCUCUGUUCUACGCGUAUUGCGUGUUCUAUCCGCAUGACGUUCGUACGUGUUGUUCGUGUGUCGUCGUUCGUGCGAGUCGCGAUUCGCGUGCUUUAAUAAAAUUAUUUAUUAGCCACGAAUUGUUAGCUAUUCCAUAUAUAACAUGUCGUACACCCAUUUCUAUUCGUUUCAGUCGCUUUAACUCGGUAGCAACGCCGAUUUCAUAUUAGUAACGUAUUUUACCAUGUCACAAAUUUUAAUGGUUUAAUUAGUUGUUCAUUCGACACUUAUUAAAUAAAAUGACCCUCUAAUUAAAACUAGUUUAUAGUUUUUAACUCGCGCUUUUAUAAUUAAAUAUUAAGUCGAUGAAUACCAACUCAAACGCUUUUCAGUUAAUACUUGUUUAGUAUCAUCGAGUUAUGUUAGCGGUUAUUACACGUCGUAGCGUGCCAUUCGCGUGUGUCACGCGUCUUGCCGCGCGUCGUUCGCGCGUAUCUCGCGUGUCGAUCACGUGUGUCGCGCAGCGUCUGUGCGUGUUAAUAAAUUGUUCCCGCCAAUAAUCACUCAUGUUAAUAAGGUUAAUUCGUCUGGUCAUAUAUUUUAGAUAAUUAGCUUAAGGCCCGCUUGGCUAAUAGUUAUUAGAUUAAUAUUCUAACUAGAUUAAAUGUGUAGUGUUCCUCAUGGGCUUAGAUAAUAAAUAUUAACAUGGCAAAUAUUAAUUUAACUGCUUUUAUAUUUAAUAUUUGUUUAGUAUAAACGUGUCACCUAUUUAGUUUUCCUCGCCUUUCGCGCGUGCUGUUCCGCGCGUGGUGGCGUGCUGGUUCGCGCGACGUUCACGCUGGUCGCGCGCACUUUUUCGCGUGUCGUCAGUGUGCUAUGCCGUGCAUGUCUACACUAUUUGCACGCAGUCGCGUUGGUUUGAGCGUCGUAAAUUCGUCUCGCUUAGAAUCUCUCGUGUUAAUUAAAUUACUUAUUUAUUUGACAGUUGUUAGUAGGGCUGGACAAAAUGCUCGCGGCUCGUCGGCUCGCUCGGUUCUUGGCCAGCUCGGCUCGGCUCGGAUCGGCUCGUUUGAAUUUUUUCGCGAGCUGAGCUGACAUCCUAGCUCGGUUCGUUAACGAGCCAGCUCGGAUUGUUAACGAGCCAGCUCGUGAGCUAAACGAGCUAUCACAUUUCAGCAAAACAAAACUAUAUACAUAUCAUUUACGUAACAAUUGAUGAAUAUGUUAUAUGUAUGUGUGGUGUUUAUAACCUAUAAGUUAAACUAAUGAUUGAUGAAUUAUGUCUAUGUAUGAAAUUGGUCUAUACGAAUAUAAGUGUGGGUUAAACUGCUGAAUAUGUGUGUGAAUAGUGAAUUGAUGAGUGAUGAGUUGUGUUAAGUUGGUGUUAUAUUGAUAUGGUCUGUGAAACUAUGAGUAUAAUUACUAUUUUCUGUUUUAAAUUAUUUUGAAAUUAACUAGAAAUUGAUUAUUAUACAUAUAUUAUUUUUUUCUGCUCUGGCUCGCGAGCUAAACGAGCCAGCUCGAGCUCGUAAACGAGUCGAGCCGAGCUGACUCUGUGGCUCGCUACCUUAACGAGCCGAGUCGAGCCAGCUCGUUAGCUUAACGAGCCAGCUCGAGCUCGAACGAGCCGAGCCGAGCUGGCUCGAUAUCCAGCCCUAGUUUGUUAGUGUAGCAGAUUAAUCAAACUAAAUAGUAGAUAUAAUUUAUAAUUGAUAAGGUCGAAUUAAUUAUUAGCGUUAAUACUUGUUUAGCGUAAACGCGAUAUUUUCCCGACUGUCGCUUCGAGUUCAACAUUUCUUUCCCUCGCGUGACCAUAGAAUCAAGCUCUGUUUUAUGCUGCAUAUUUUUAUACCAUUUUAUCUUGUAUGGUGUAAUGUUCUUAUGCAUUUAUAUAUGUCUGUUUGCUUGUGCUUGUUCGUCUUCGCUUCGUGUUGCGAUUAGAUCGUGAUUUGUUCCCGCGCUUCGAGGAAUCGACGAUCAAGCUUCGACGAUCAAGUGAUCUAGCUCUUCGAGUUCCACGAAGUUGAAGACCCUAAGCAUCUGUUUGGUGAAGGCAAGUGUCCUUUGACCUAUUAUGUCUCAUUUACUUUAUAAUUCAUCAACCCGCAUACCAUGAUCAACCUAAGGAUUGACUAGCUUUGUAUUUACCUUGUCCUUGCUUA